AGAUGGAUGUGAGGUGAAGUCUCUGAAGCUGUGUUCCAAUCCCUGAGUCGUGUGGUCAUGGGAAAUGCCAGUCACAGAGAUGCUUCAGAAGUCAGCAGCUGCCUGGGAGAGAAGCAAGAACCUGGGCUCAGCAAGAUCCUCAGGAGGUCAAGGCCACCUGGUCCAGAGCAGAGAGGAAAAGAGGUCUUGAAAGGCCACUUGCUGCUCUGGCCAAGACAUCUGCAGUGCUCCUGUUCCUGAGGCCUUGCGAUUCCAAGACAUGUCCGAGACAUGUGAAGGCACUUCUUGAAUCCAAAGCAGCCCCUGCCUGAGGAGCACCAAACAUCACAGCUGAGGGGUGCCCAGCUUUGGAGCACCCCUCCCUAGGCCCAAAGACGUCCUCAAAGCUUUGAAGGCUAUUCUGGUCAUGCCCCAUGUAAUGUCGGUGUCUACAGAAAAACGUGCAGGGCAAGAGUAUAAAUAUCUGCUUGUUUUGAUCACAUAUUAUACUAUUUAAAGACCUCCUGUGGGAGAGCCACCCCCGCUAGGCCCAAGCAGGAAGGAGAAGCCAAACUCUGUGUAAAAUCUGGGCCCUUCGACCCGUGGACUUUAAGUUCUUUCCUGUGAGGUUCCCUAAAGGCCCUGAAGACGGAGCUGAGUCCCAUUGCCAAGCGGGAACGGAGCAGCUGCACCCAGGGAGACCAGAACAAAUGCUCUGGUACUCAGAGGAAGCUCCUGGGAUGGCCGUCAGCGGCUCCACUCUUCCUGUGCAGCUUCCUCCUUUGACCUUUCAAGGAUCUUCUUGCAGUUAAAAGCUCCCAGGAAACUAGAAAGAGCUGAAGGGCAAAACACCGAGAUGCCCCCCGCACUCAGCGCUGGCACACGCCCAGGCGGACCCCAGGUAGCAGUGGCAAAAUGAACCUCGCUCCUCUGCUGUUUCCCAGGCUGUGGACUUCAUCCAAGGGCAGGAGUGGCCUGCAGCUGGUCAGCGCCCAUCCACUGGGCUCUCCCGAGCAGGAGUGCUGGCCUAUUGAAAGGGCACCAGGCACACGCACAUGCUCCCUCAGGAGCGAGGUGCGUCCACUUGUCUGUGGAUGUCACAGUCCAGUGGUUACAUCAGCUGACCUGUAGAAUAUCUACCCUCUUGUCGACUCUAGACGCCGGAGACUGAGCCAGGGUCAAGGCUGAGACUCCUGGACAGCAGCUGGGAAGCCUCUGUGGUGUGGAUCGCUUUCAAGCCCGCACUCUGGACUGAAAGACAAAAACAAAGUCCAGCCAAGCAGCUUGAUCUGUUCCUUGGUUUGCUAGUUUUGUGCUCCAGGUUCUGGCGACAACUGUACCCACGUCAGGGUCUGAGGGUUUUCAAGGUGCGUGCACACCAGGAUGCUCACACCAUGGAAACGGGCGCUUCCCGUUGCUCUGGGGAAACAGUUGAGUUAGGAAAACAUUUUAAACCAGACAUCAGGCCUUGAAGCCAUAAAAGAAGUGAUCAGUUAGACCUACCAAAAAGUGAACUUUCGUGUCAGAAGACUACCACCACGCCAAAACAAAAGACACACUGGAAACAAACUCUGAAACACGAUGGGGAAGUUUACUGUUAAAAUUUAGAAUUAGAAUUUUACCGUUAAAUUCUAUUAUUAUAUAUGAUUUGGAAAGACAUUCUGAAAGUCUGUGAUUAAGAUGGCAACAGAAAAAAAAAAAGGCAAAUGACAUGGACAGGCAUGUGGAAUAAAAACUGCACAUAUGCAGUACGAGACCUAUAACCCUCAUGAACUCCAAGCCAUGCCAAUGGCAUAUUUUGACUUGGAAAGGCACAUAUAAAUCCAAAUGUUCGAUUUUUGCCAUCAGGGAAUUGGGUAAACAGGUAUUCCAUAUACUUUUACUAGACAUGCAAAUUAGUUUGAGACUUUCCUAUAAUAAUUUCAAAUCUUCCUCUCAACUGUUCUGGUAAGUCCGAUUCUAGGAAUGAGCUUUAGAAACUCACACGACUGCAUUAACAAGAAUAUGUAAGCUGUAGCAAUUGUUUGUAAUGGUAAAAGGUUAGAAUUGACCCAAAUAUUUAUUAUUGCAUAAUUAUAGUGAAAAUAAAUAUUGUGAAACUAGUCAUUUACCUCAGAGACAGACUUCCAUUUACUGACAUGAAAAGGCUUAAGUGACUUUCAGAUUGGCAAAGAUCCCACUUUUUCUAUAAGAACAUAUUUUCACGUAUUUUACCCAUGAAACAAUUUUGGAGUAGGUGUCCCUAGACUUCUUGUAUGGCUGCCACCAAGGUGGGAGGAAAGUGUGUGGGGAGGAUGAGGGAUUUUACUGUUAAAAUUCUAUAUUUCUUUUUUAUACCAAGAGCAUAUUACUUUUCAAAUCAGAAAAAUAAUGCUAUAAAAAGUAAAGACAAAAUGGGUGCUUGUGGCAAAGUCAGGAUUACCCGCAGCCGGCCACCCAUUGUCUGUACACUAUUCAGUAUCUAAUGGCAAUCUUCAUCUUCUCUGAGUUCUUCCAACCUGUCAGAGUCGCUGGAGGAGAUGAUUGGAUGGUGAAGCACUUGGCUCCUCCCAUCUUCCUUUUUUCCUCGUGUUGAGGAGGAGUCUAAUUCUGCUCAUCCUGGUGGCCCAUUUCUCUGCUGAACUGUGGGUGGUUCUGACAAAGGCAAGGUCACAGACCCUAAAAAGCCAUGUGGUCUGGGCCCCUGCUUGGUGAUUUGUAAACUCCCUGGCUGGCGAUGCUGGUGGCAUUUGGCCCCUCCCAGGGAUGGCUGGGACCCCCUGAUUCGGGUAUCUCAAAGUGGUUCUCUCUGUGGCUUGUGGCCAGGGUCCUGGAGUGCCUUCUUUUGUCCUGUUUCCCCGUCAGGAUUUUGGUAGCCAAGCACCAUUCUUUCCUCAUUCUCCUUUGCAUCAGGUUCUGGGAUUUUUUUUUUCAUCUCCUUAAUAAAAUUUAUUGAUAUUUU